GACGAACGCUGGCGGCGUGCUUAACACAUGCAAGUCGAGCGGUAAGGCCCUUUCGGGGGUACACGAGCGGCGAACGGGUGAGUAACACGUGGGUGACCUGCCCUCAGCUCUGGGAUAAGCCUGGGAAACUGGGUCUAAUACUGGAUAUGACUCCACGGUGCAUGUCGUGGGGUGGAAAGCCUUGUGCGGCUGAGGAUGGGCCCGCGGCCUAUCAGCUUGUUGGUGGGGUGANGGCCUACCAAGGCGACGACGGGUAGCCGGCCUGAGAGGGCGACCGGCCACACUGGGACUGGGACACGGCCCAGACUCCUACGGGAGGCAGCAGUGGGGAAUCUUGCGCAAUGGGCGAAAGCCUGACGCAGCGACGCCGCGUGAGGGAUGACGGCCUGGU
rnacentral:rRNA from 1 species